rnacentral:rRNA from 1 species
AGUGAAUAGAUACCCCGGUAGUCCACGCCGUAAACGAUGGAUACUAGCUGUUGGAGGUAUCGACCCCUUCAGUAGCGAAAGCUAAACGCGUUAAGUAUCCCGCCUGUGGAGUACGGUCGCAAGACUAAAACAUAAAGGAAUUGACGGGGACCCGCACAAGCGGUGGAGCGUGUUCUUUAAUUCGAUGAUAAACGAAGAACCUUACCAGGACUUGACAUCCCGAGAAUUUUGCCGAAAGGCGAGAGUGCUUUAUUGAACUCGGUGACAGGUGCUGCAUGGCCGUCGUCAGCUCGUGUCGUGAGAUGUUUGGUUAAGUCCAUUAACGAGCGCAACCCUUAUGAAUAGUUGUAUUUUUCUAUUCAGACUGCCCCGGUAACGGGGAGGAAGGAGGGGAUGAUGUCAGGUCAGUAUUGCCCUUACGUCCUGGGCUAGAAACGCGCUACAAUGGCCGGUACAAUGCGCAGCCAACCCGCAAGGGGGAGCAAAUCGCAUCAAAGCCGGUCCCAGUUCGGAUAAGAGGCUGAAACUCGCCUCUUUGAAGUCGGAAUCGCUAGUAA